UACCUGGUCUUGACAUCCACGGAAGUUUUCAGAGAUGAGAAUGUGCCUUCGGGAACCGUGAGACAGGUGCUGCAUGGCUGUCGUCAGCUCGUGUUGUGAAAUGUUGGGUUAAGUCCCGCAACGAGCGUAACCCUUAUCCUUUGUUGCCAGCGGUCCGGCCGGGAACUCAAAGGAGACUGCCAGUGAUAAACUGGAGGAAGGUGGGGAUGACGUCAAGUCAUCAUGGCCCUUACGACCAGGGCUACACACGUGCUACAAUGGCGCAUACAAAGAGAAGCGACCUCGCGAGAGCAAGCGGACCUCAUAAAGUGCGUCGUAGUCCGGAUUGGAGUCUGCAACUCGACUCCAUGAAGUCGGAAUCGCUAGUAAUCGUGGAUCAGAAUGCCACGGUGAAUACGUUCCCGGGCCUUGUACACACCGCCCGUCACACCAUGGGAGUGGGUUGCAAAAGAAGUAGGUAGCUUAACCUUCGGGAGGGCGCUUACCACUUUGUGAUUCAUGACUGGGGUGAAGUCGUAACAAGGUAACCGUAGGGGAACCUGCGGUUGGAUCACCUCCUUA
rnacentral:rRNA from 1 species